CUCACACUCACCCUGGCAGCAGGUGUGGCUGUGUGUGCCAUGGGGCUGGGCUGGGGGGGACUAGCUCUUGCACUUAGCUUCCUGGGGCAGACGAGCAAGGGGAAGGGGUAGGUUCUUAGCUCACUGGUAACCCCUGGUCACUGCUGACGCCACCUCUGCGGGCGUGUUCAGGAUACAUACAUACUCGAAGCGAAAGCUGCUUAGAAAUCGCACGUUCGAUAGAACUGACCGAACAAACCAUGUGAGAACCCUGCAGGUGAUCAGGAAAAGGAUUCCGCUUCAUUCCUCUCUUUUAAAAUCUCUUUCAGCCGGCCGCGUUCCUAAAUCCCCUGGUCAGCAUCACCAGCUACUUACACUUUAUAGGUAAUUAUGGAACUGGAACGAAUCCAAGAGAGCAGAGGCAAAUGGGACCCAGCCCCGCCACGGCAGGAGACCUGGAUCGCUUAGCUCUUGGGACCCCGCAGGCAGGCUGUGUCAACUUCCCCGGGUGUCACAGGGGAUUGGACAGAAUCACAACGAAAGCCUCUUCAAUAUAUCCAAGCUACCCCUACAUAACCAACGUAAGAAAGUGCUCGUCUCGAAUUCCUAAAGUGAGAAGGGGGCUGGAAACGGUCUUGAGAAGGAAGAAACAGUACGGAUGGACUUUGAAAGGGGGGCAGAGUUUCAUAAAGUGGAAAAAGGAGCGGAGGAGGAAGUGGGUACACUUCAGGAAACUGAAUCGACAAACGCAGAGGAAACAAAUUCUGUGGAGUUUGAAGAGCAAGGUUUGGCCAGAUAUCGGAUUAUGAGGGGCUGAGGCCACAAGAACACAGAGCUUUGCCAGCUGGUGGAGGCCCAAUCGGCAGGGGUCUAUCUGCAUUCUGCUCUGUCUUCCAGUGGGAGCAGCCGGUUGAGAUCUUACAGGCACGAAUCUACAGAGCAAACAGAAAUGCCCUGUCCACGUGAUCAUCCUGGAGCUCACAACUGAACCUGGCGUUAGAAAGCCCGGGGAGAGGCAAUUCUACCGACAUUCACUUUCACUCAUUCCCCACCCCAAGACUUAAUUUUUAUUAAGGGAAGUGGAGUUGAGAGCUAGAAACUGGGAAAAUUCUUGGCAAUUGAGGGAGACACUUUCUAGAGUUGUGCCAAAUUAACAAAUAAGGACGAGACAAGAGUGCCUCCAUGCCUUCCGUGGCAAACACCUUAAACCAUGUAUCUUCUCUCCCUGCUAUCUGAGAAUUCUUCUCCAGAAGCAGGGGAAGCGGGUCAGGAGGGCCAGUGGUUCAGACGUGAAGGAGAUUCUCUCGCCACCUCGGCAGAUACCCCGUCAAGAGCGAUGGCGGAAGAGCUAGUGCUGGCGGGAGGGCCUGCUUACCUCUCCAUGGCUCUCCCUCUCGAGCUUCUCCUCAGUGCUUUUCCCAUGCAGGUGAUGACCAGCCCCACGAGGAUGAAACUGACCGAAAGGGUCAGUCACUAAGUCACUAGCUGCUCGGGGUCUUAAUGCUGACCCUUACUGCAUAGCAGUAAGACGGUCUCUGGCUUGGCAUCCAAAUGCCACUCCUACCACCCGAAGAAUCCUCAAAGGGUUUGGCUCGUGGGAAGAAAUCCCAAAGCGUUCUCAAAGUCAUUGCUCCCCACGCUUCUGGAUUGAUGUCAAAUCCCAAGUGGCUUGGCCUGAUAACUAAUUCCUUCUGGGAUGACUCCUUUGGUUAUUGACCUCAUCUCUUAGCCUCACUGCCUCAGCGACCUUCAGGCUAUUAAGAACAAAGCCCGAGGGGCGUCUGGGUGGCUCAGUUGGUUGGUCGUCCGACUUCGGCUCAGGUCAUGAUCUCAUGGUUCGUGGGUUCGAGCCCCGCGUCGGGCUCGGUGCUGACCGCUCAGAGCCUGGAGCCCGCUUCGGAUUCUGUGUCUCCCUCCUUCUCUGCACCUCCCCUGCUUGUCCUCUCUCUAUAUCUAUCUCAAAAAUAGACAUUUAAAAAAAAAAAAUUAAGAAAAAAAAGGACGCAGCCCAAGCCUGUUGGAAAGUCAGUCAGAUAAGGAGCAUCUGCGGUCACAUCUGGGGGACCGCUUAGGCUUUCCUAGCGCUCCCAUCAGGAAUUUAGGAGAAUGUUAUGCACUCGCUUCCCAAAUGGCUCCGGGCCUUCUUUCUCCUGUCUAUUUCUAGUGCAGACCACAGUCUGUGUUUUAUUUGGUGCCCAGUCAAGUAAGAAUUCUCCGAAUUCCCUUAGCGCCAGGCUGCGGACACAUGCAACACAGCUGACUGGGGACCUUGGCAGGUCCGACCGAGGAGCUCCUGACCAGCCAAGAUGAGGCCAAGGGGGACAUGGCUUUACAUCCUUACCACCUACAUCGAGCAGUCCCUCCUGCUUCUCUUGUAGAGGCAGAGCUGCUUCAGACCAUUCUCUGUCCCUUCUCCCAGCACCGAGGCUUAGCUCUGUGUGCCAAGCGUGAUCCCCGCACAGAGCCAGGGAGAUCUGCGGCCGGCCGGGCCCCGUGUCUUUAUCAGGCAGUUCCCCCGGGACUCUGGGAGCAGCAGGGUAGACUGGGGAACCCAAGGGUGUGGCAGCCUCUUUCUGAAGAGGGUAAGUGAAGACAGAAGGCCACGUGAGGGCAUCUGAACUGCGACGUGGACAAAGGCCGUGAGGGCGAUUUAAACUCAGGCAGUAGGAAAGCACAGGCAGGCUGGUUGGCCUCCGUCGCCCACAGACAGCUAGGUCAGGUGAUGACGAUAGCACCUGUGGCUCUGUUAGGGUCAAACUUCCCUUUUCUGCUCUAGGAACUCAGGAAAAGUCACUUUAGUCCUUAUUUUUACAUAUUCACAGACAGGAGGCUGGCCUCAUUAGAAGGUUUCAAAGCUGGGACAUUCGGUGUCCCUGGUGCUCUAGGGCACCUGAGGCAUCCAGGUAAAGAAGAUUUGAUGCGGAAGAAGCGGCCUGCCUUGGACAGUCAAUGGGUUCCCGACGUCUCAGUCCAGAGUGGCUUAAGGGUAAAGAGCUCUUACUUGGUCUCCACCCUUUCCUUCGGUCACAGUUUAAAUGGCGUGUUGGUCACGAUACUUGGAGGACAUGCUAACCCUGCAUGUGAGAAAGUGGGAGAUGUCAAGAGGAAAAAAGAACACUAACAGCUGUGUUAGGGACAGAUUAGGGACAGGGGAGACAAAAAAUCCUAUCUUUCCAAGAUUGGAGAGGGGAGGUGUAUCUUCUUGUUAAACUCCACUGCAAUUCAACCACUUUUCAAAAUACUGUUUUCACCUACGCAUAUUCUAUAUAAACAGGUAUGUGUUUUAUACACAGCAGUGAGCAGAGCAUUCGUACAAUUUUGUAUGUUGCUUUUGCACGUAACACGGGCGUUUCCCACUCGAUCCAGUCUUGGCAAUUACUUUUAAACACCUCCACCAUUUUGUCCUGCCUGUGGCUCCCAGGCCUGUGAUCGGUCUCACGGGGGCACCUUCUUGGCUGGUGGGCGGGCAGCACUCGCGUUAGAUUCCCGACCUCCAGGCACGCCGCUCAGGAGCACACAUUCGGCGCUCUCGCACGCGCAGUAAGUGAUCUGUCCGGCAGAAGUCUGCAAGGCCCGCUCUGGGAAUCCAAGCCCCGAAGAUGAAGACAGCGCUCAGUGACAAGCCCGGAAGGCUGUCCCAUUUUACACAUCACCUCCAGGCAGCCCCUGGCUGGACGCGGGGCCCAGGUGCCCUAGCACAACCCGGCAUAAGGCACGGAGAGGCCGCAGAGCCCCGGAGUGUCAAAGCACACGAUUUGUGCCGGCCGGGUUUCCAACCCAGGGGCCCGUCAGAGGCGCGCUGUAAAAAUGAUGAAUGGCUGUCACAUUUCCAAGGCUCCGGCUGAUUUAGGGAGCCAUUGGCAGACACAUCACUCCCAGCAUGUCAGCCAGUUAAUUACUUCCAACUUUAUCUUUCUUGUCAACACUUCUUGACAAAUUGGCCAUUAUCUUUUUAUUCUACAACAACGAGCACUGCUCCUUUUCUGGCGAUGCCUGGAGGUUUUUCUCCUUUCCGUUUCUUCGUACCCAGAGUGGAUUGAAGAGCUCUGAGAGAGCCGAUUAGAAAGAGGAGCUGUCAGGAAGAGGACAAAAGCGGCGAGGGCUGCUAGAGUGAACCCAAGGCUCAUUAUCAAAUGUCUUCACUCAAAGCAGAGUUGAUGUUUUGGGUAAAAUACUGAUUUCCUGGCUUCCCGAUGUCCGAGAGCUCUGCCUCAGUCUCUCGCGGGGAUGAAGUUGGGACACAGAAAGGUAAAUGAGCUGGCGUCUGCUGAUCUGGCAGUGCUGAGCCCUUCUCCCCACCUAACUGGGUACGCGGACGUGAGGUGGCCCUCCGCUCCCCUGAGAGGCCACAUUGUAGAAACACUGAUGCCCAUUCUGGAGUCAGGGAAGAGGGAAAAAUAAACCUACUUCUUGGUAAGGCCAAGCCAGUAGAAGAUGAGCAUGACACGCUAUAAACGGGCCACCGAGAUUCAAAGUCUAUGAGACGACCAAAAGUAUUUGGAGAGACCAAUGGUGUCACCACCAAUACGUUUCGCCAUCACUGCACGGACGUUGUCAGGGGUGGCCAUGGGGCAGAACCCAACCCCUACUGUACUCCGCCAGUUGUAAGACACACACUUUAACAUCUCUGAAUCAUGAUAUGGCAUAUAAUUCAAGGCUUGAGAGCGCUGUGACGUGGUUUAGUUGCCAGCAGUAACCCCCGCCCCGCCCUGCCCCAGAAGUACAUAAAAAUCAGAAGCAGCGUCUCUAACUCACCAUUUACUGGUCCCAUUAAACCUCGAGGCGUUCCGGCGGGUGAGCUACGUACAAUGGAAGGGCAGACAUUUACUACUGGACUACCGCGAGCUUCUUCCUUUGGGAUGGUCUUGGGCUGCAGUGAAAGACCCUGUGUCCUUUUGGUUCAGCUUUAGGGGAAACCCUGGGAUUCUUCCCUUCG